rnacentral:rRNA from 1 species
GACGAACGCUGGCGGCGUGCCUAAUACAUGCAAGUCGAGCGAGACUCUUCGGAGUCUAGCGGCGGACGGGUGAGUAACACGUGGGCAACCUACCUGUAAGACUGGGAUAACACCGGGAAACCGGUGCUAAUACCGGAUAAUCCUUUUCCUCUCAUGAGGAAAAGCUGAAAGUCGGUUUCGGCUGACACUUACAGAUGGGUCCGCGGCGCAUUAGCUAGUUGGUGAGGUAACGGCUCACCAAGGCGACGAUGCGUAGCCGACCUGAGAGGGUGAUCGGCAACACUGGGACUGAGACACGGCCCAGACUCCUACGGGAGGCAGCAGUAGGGAAUCUUCCACAAUGGACGAAAGUCUGAUGGAGCAACGCCGCGUGAGCGAUGGAGGCCUUCGGGUCGUAAAGCUCUGUUGUUAGGGAAGAACAAGUACCGGAGUAACUGCCGGUACCUUGACGGUACCUAACCAGAAAGCCACGGUUAACUACGUGCCAGCAGCCGCCGAACAC